rnacentral:lncRNA from 1 species
AUGUGUUCACAUGCUAGUAAAGUAAUGCUCAAAAUUCUCCAAGCCAGGCUUCAGCAAUACGUGAACCGUGAACUUCCAGAUGUACAAGCUGGUUUUAGAAAAGGCAGAGGAACAAUAGAUCAAAUUGCCAACAUCCGCUGGAUCAUGGAAAAAGCAAGAGAGUUCCAGAAAAACAUCUAUUUCUGCUUUAUUGACUAUGCCAAAGCCUUUGACUAUGUGGAUCAAAAUAAACUGUGGAAAAUUCUGAAAGAGAUGGGAAUACCAGACCACCUGACCUGCCUCUUGAGAAACCUGUAUGCAGGUCAGGAAGCAACAGUUAGAACUGGACAUGGAACACCAGACUGGUUCCAAAUAGGAAAAGGAGUACUUCAAGGCUGUAUAUUGUCACCCUGCUUAUUUAAUUUAUAUGCAGAAUACAUCAUGAGAAAUGCUGGGCUGGAGGAAGCACAAGCUGGAAUCAAGAUUUCCGGGAGAAAUAUCAAUAACCUCAGAUACGCAGAUGACACCACCCUUAUGGCAGAAAGUGAAGAAGAACUAAAGAGCCUCUUGAUGAAAGUGAAAGAGGAGAGUGAAAAAGUUGGCUUAAAGCUCAACAUUCAGAAAACUAAGAUCAUGGCAUCUGGUCCCAUCACUUCAUGGGAAAUAGAUGGGGAAACAGUGGCUGACGUUAUUUUUCUGAGCUCCAAAAUCACUGCAGAUGGUGAUUGCAGCCAUGAAAUUAAAAGACGCUUGCUCCGUGGAAGGAAAGUUAUGACCAACCUAGACAGCAUAUUGAAAAGCAGAGACAUUACUUUGUCAACAAAGGUCUGUCUAGUCAAGGCUAUGGUAUUUCCAGUGGUCAUAUAUGGAUGUGAGCAUUGGACUAUAAAGAAAGCUGAGUGCCAAAGAAUUGAUGCUUUUGAACUGUGGUGUUGGAGAAGACUCUGGAGAGUCCCUUGGCCUGCAAGGAGAUCCAACCAGUCCAUCCUAAAGGAGAUCAGUCCUGAUUGUUCGUUGGUAGGACUGAUUUUGAAGCUGAAACUCCAAUACUUUGGCCAUCUGAUGCAAAGAACUGACUCAUUUGAAAAGACCCUGAUGUUGGGAAAGAUCGAGGGCAGGAGGAGAAGGGGACGACGGAGGAUGAGGUGGUUGGAUAGCAUCACUGACUCGAUGAACAUGGGUUUGGGUGAACUCCGGAGUUGGUGA